ensembl:lncRNA
GAAAAAUUCUAUGCUGGCUCCCAUCCUCAGCCCUGUCAACAUUUGUUUUAUACCAACAAUGUUUCUGGAUUAUGUUGUCUCCCUCUAGGUCAUUCUCUCUGAAAAGUACUUAAAUUGAGUUCCCAGGGAAAAUCAGAUAUUCGCUAAUGUCCUAGUGAAUGAUAUGAGAAGGCCCAGUUCAUGAAGGCUCUGGAGAAGGUGAGAAAUGUGGGAUUACUCUGGAAGUCAUUUCUGCCACCUCUUAGGACAGAGAAUGUAGAUUUCCCAGGGAGCACUUCAUCAACAACCUUCAAAGCCAGCAAACUGAAGCAGACUAUGGGAGAAGCCAAUGUCUGGGAAACCUCCCAGUCCAAUGAAGCUGCUGAACUGUUUUUAAAGAAGAGUGUGCAAAUUGUGUCUUCAGCUAUUUCUUGCACAUGGAAAAUAUUAUAUUUUACUGGUGAUUAAGUUUGCUAUCAGCAAAAUAUCUAUAAAGUACAUGUCAUGGAAAGAUGUGGAAUAAUCUGCACUGACACUAAUGAAAAGGUUUCCUUUCUCCCAGAUCAUCUGCCUUUACUCAGCAUUUCUCUGUAGGCAAGGUACUCCCUGGCAAGUGUUCUUCCAUAGCCAAAGCAUGCUACAGUGCCAAGCUAUCUGCCAAGCCUACUACCUUUUCUUUGUCUUAUCUCUCUCUUUUUUUCCUUUCUCU